rnacentral:lncRNA from 1 species
AUAGACUGAUCAUUUCUUUGUCAGUGGGCAAACGUACAAAAUCAGCAGGGGAUCAAAUACUUUUUUCCCUCACUGUAAGCAGCAUCAGUCCAUGGACCCAUCCCGCCUGGUGUCAACGGUACAGGCUGGCAGUGGUUGUGUACUGGUGUGGAGAAUGUUUUCCUGGCACACUUUGGGUCCCUUGAUACCAAUUGUGCAACGAUUGAACGCCACAGUGUAUCUGAACAUUGUUGCUAACCAAACCCAAUUGAGCAUCUUUGAGAUGAGAUGGAAUGGGCUGUUCACAGCAUGAAUGUACCGCUGUCAGAUCUACAGUAUGGACCAACAUCCCUGUGGAACUUUUCCAACACUUUGUAAAAUCCAUGCCCCGAAGAAUUCAGACUGUUCUGUAGGCAAUGGGUGUACCUAAUAAACUGACCAUGGAGUGUAUAUGUAUAUGAGAUAUCACAUAUGAUUAUAUGAGGAGUACCUGUUUAAUUUACAACUCUAAGUCCUACAGAUGUAGGAUCUUAAUUUGAGACAGUUUGCUACAGUAGGAAAAUAAUCCUGCAGCAACAGGAUAUUUGAAUUAUUAUGUGAAUUAUAAUUAAUAUACCUUUUUGUAGGGGUCGAUACAUUGUCCAUUAGGACAAAACAAGUCUGACAUUUCAAAGUUGAAAUUACAAACUUAAGAAGCCUUUUUAAAACUCAAAUACACUAGAAGUUUGCAUUUCCUCCUGUGCAGGAAAAUUAUCAGCAACAAAAGAGUGAGCAAAUGAAGAUCCUUCAGUACAUCUGUAUCAUCAACUGAUUUCAGCCAGUGUAUGGCUGUGGAUGGCUGCAUUGCUUGAAUGGAAUGUAGGCGUAUUGGCAGUUCAUUUGAAAAAUGAAUGGAAUCAUUCCUCUAAAACUGUGGCUACCUAGCUAACACACAUACAAUGCAGAUCAAUUAUUAACAUUCCUUGUUUUACACAAUAUCUUAUCUCAGCAUGGUUGACAAACUCCCUGACCAACAUGGCUGACCUUUGGACCAUCAUAAGAAGGUUCAUGUCCAUUCUAAUAAUCUAAUUCCUAAUUAUAUGGAUGCUACUGCAUAAUGACGGUAACAUGGCUUUGGCUUUACUCCAUCACAGCAGUCACAGACUGUCAUCAUUAAUAGCACCCAAAGACGCACCUACAGUAGCAAGUUACAGUAUAUCAGACUCAUGGGCUAUACGAGUUAGGCCAUACACCCUACCAGCUCCAAGGGCGUCUCCUUGUCCGCCAGCUCCAAGACCACCACCAAAACCACCUGGACCAGCUCCACCCUGGCCAACACCAGAACCAGGCCCAUAUCCUCCUGGUCCAGCUUCACCUGGUCCAUAGCCUCCAGCUCCUAAUCCAGCCCCCUGUCCCCCAGGACUGCGACCUACAUAGCCAGCUCCUGGGGAUCAAACACAAGAAAUACAGACUCAAACAGACAAAAACACAUCUCAAAGGUCUACUGUACAUAGAGACAAGAUCCACACACAUCUGUUUUGGAAGGAUUCCCGCUGGCUCCUGUAGAAAGAUGGAGAAACAGCAGAGGAAUAACAGAGGCCAUAAGAUCAGGUUGUAUUGCAUGAGUUAGUGUGACUCCCAAAAGGCACCCAAUUAUGGGCAAAAGUAGUGCACUAUUUAAGGAAUAUGGUGCCAUUUGGGAACACGGCCGGUAUCUUUGACUGUACUCCAUCUGUAGACCUCAGGGUUCGUUACCUGUUCCAUCGGGUCCAUAACCAUGACCAUAAACUCCAGGACCAGCUCCCCCAGGACCAACACCAACACCAAGCCCAUAGCCACCUGGUCCAGCCCCAGCUCCACCUGGUCCAUAGCCACCUGGUCCAAAACCUCCAACACCCAGUCCAGCCCCCUCUCCACCUGGUCCAUAACCUCCUGGUCUGACUCCUUGUCUAAGACCUCCUCCUCCCAGACCUCCAGCUCCUAGUCCAGCCCCCUGUCCUCCAGGACUCCGACCUCCAUUGCCAGCUCCUGGAGAGGAAGACUCAAGCAUCAGUAUCACAACUGAAUCUGUCCAUUACAUCCAGGGCCGGAUUACAGAAGGGGCACGCAGGGCACAGAUACCAGAUACCAUAUGAUAGCAAAAUGUGUAGAACUGCAGGAAAUUAGCUUUAAAACUAUAAAAAAUUCUCUCAGCAUUAUUGAAAAAUGUUUAGUAUAGCAGGAAAUUUGCUUUAAAACUGCCCUACCCCACUCCCCAACAAAUAUCCCUGGGGCCCCAAAUGCAGUAGUUCGGCCCUGAUUACAUCUCUAAGCCAAGAAAAUAC